CGGGGUGAGUAAUGUCUGGGAAACUGCCUGAUGGAGGGGGAUAACUACUGGAAACGGUAGCUAAUACCGCAUAGCGUCGCAAGACCAAAGAGGGGGACCUUCGGGCCUCUUGCCAUCGGAUGUGCCCAGAUGGGAUUAGCUAGUAGGUGGGGUAACGGCUCACCUAGGCGACGAUCCCUAGCUGGUCUGAGAGGAUGGCCAGCCACACUGGAACUGAGACACGGUCCAG
rnacentral:rRNA from 1 species